rnacentral:rRNA from 1 species
UUAAUUUUUAACGGCCGCAGUACUUUGACUGUGCUAAGGUAGCGUAAUCAGUUGUCUUUUAAAUGGAGUCGAGAAUGAAAGGGUUUUCGGGGAUUAACUGUCUCUAUUAAGUUAUAAUUAAUUUACUUAAGGAGUGAAAAUUCUCUUAUUUAGAAAAAAGACGAGAAGACCCUAAGAGUUUUCACUAAGCUAUGUUUUUAUUAGGAAGUUUUUGCUGGGGCGGCAAAGAGGCAAUAUAAACCCUCUUACUCAAUUUUUAGUAGACGUUUAUGUAAAGAAACAAUAAACUACCUUAGGGAUAACAGCAUAAUUUAAUUUAAGUUUGUGACCUCGAUGUUGGACUAGGAACUUUAUGGCUAGCAGUCUUAAAAGCAGGUUCUGUUCGAACCUUUUCCCCUAC